GUGUAGGCUUGGUCAGGGAGUUAGCCCCUUCCUUUUAUGCAAACGGGCUUUAUGGCAGACGACGGGCAAUGAGUGCGAAGCAAAUAAAAAAAGUCUUUAUGCUUUUGUUGACACUUUGUCCGCUUUGAUCCUACAAUUGUGAACCGGGUCAGGCCUUGAUCGGAGCAGCCCUAAUCAUUUGUUUGGGUGCUUAGCGGGUUACAAAGCCGAGAAAGUUUAGAGGUAGCUUUUCUUAGGCGAUUCAAGCAAUUUGCCUGGCCUACAU
rnacentral:SRP_RNA from 1 species